rnacentral:pre_miRNA from 14 species
AUUUCCAUUACUUUUGCUCGUUGUUCCUUUUUCCUAUGCAUAUACUUCUUUGAGAAUUGGAUCUAAAGAGGCAUAGGGCAUGGGAAAAUGGGGCGACUGAGGUACUCCACCAGUCACC